rfam:Schistosoma rodhaini strain Burundi genome assembly, scaffold: SROB_scaffold0001163
AUCCAGCUGUCGAUUCCCAAAUAGGACAAAACGUGCGUCCUGGAU